CUCCCAGACUUAAUGGAGAUCCCUGUGCACGUGUUAGCGUCACCCCAUUUACAGUCACCCCCCCCCCCCCGCCCCGGGCAGGUCAAUGUGUGUGUGGGAGUCUAUCCCGGACACCUCACUCUGUCCAGGUAAAGCCUUGUCGGCUUGCCCCUGGCCGCUCCCGGGGACUCCUUCCCAGGAGCCUCCCCAUGAUCCUCUCUGUUGUCCCAAAGGCUCCUGUCAGCCAGGCGCCCUGUGAGGUGAUGUGCCCGGAAAGUCUUCUAGCUGCACCUGACUAUGUGCAGCACAAGCACUCGAAUUUGUACCAAGUCACAGGUGUCAUCCACUUCAAUGCAUCUGACCAGGACAGCAUCCAGGAGACCACCAGACAAAUGAAAUGUAUGAAGGGAGUUUACAAAUCCAUCAAGACCAGCACCCCAUGAGAAAGAGUAAGAAGAUGCCUUGGGGAGACCUCAAGAUUUUAAAUCAAGCCAAGACUUUGGUGAAACAACAAGGAUACAAUAAUGCCUACCCACAAAAAUGAUGUUGUUAUGUUUACUGACUCUAUUAUAUGUUAAUUCUCAGCCUGCCAAGGCAUAAUCCAAAUGCCUUUUGUGAAAAGUGAUAAAAGACACACCUGUUAACAGGACACAGAAUGAUGUUGCUUGCAUGCUAAGGCAACUUUCCCUCUUGUAAACAACUAUCUUUCGGAUAGAACAUUUUUGUUUGUUUUAUUUUGUUUGUGAAAAUCCUACUAUAUUCCCCUUUCUGUGGGUUAUAAAGGUUCAUGUGGGAGAAGCCAUAUUAUACCCAUUUUGCUUAGAAAAUGUUAGCAAUUGAUCAUUAGAAUUAAGAGAACUUCCCUGAGAAUUAUGUUGAUUUUUUUCAAUCUAUUGGAUCCUGUAAAGGUUACAGCCAAAAUGGCCUUUUUAUUGCCUAUCCCAGUAAUAGUUAUUGGAAUACCAUCUUUUUUUUUUUUUUUUUUUUUGAGACAGGGUUUCUCUGUGUAGCUUUGCGCCUUUCCUGGAACUUGCUUUGGACACCAGGCUGGCCUUGAACUCACAGAGAUCCACCUGCCUCUACCUCCCGAGUGCUGGGAUUAAAGGUGUGCACCACCACCGCCACUGGGCUUUGGAAUGCCAUCUUAAAGAUAGCCUGUAUGAUAGUAAAACUACCAACACUACAGCCUUUUUCUAGCUCUUACAAUUUUUCUGCCUACUCUUCUGAGAUGUUCCCUGAGCCACAAAUGUAGGAGCUGUGAUGUAGAUGUAUCUAUUGGGAUGAGGCUCUCCAUGAUCUGAUUUCCACAUGUGUCCAGUUGUGGUUUUCAGUGAUGGUCUCCUUUUUCUCUAAAGAGAAUUUUUUUCAAUGAGGGGUGAUAGAUACACUUAUCUGAGGGUAUCAUUUUGCAUUAUGAAAUUAAUAUAUUUGGGGAAGCAGGUGGAACACUGAUGUAAAAGUCCAGUGUUCAGGGUAACUGUGAUGGAUAAUUCUCAUGGUAUACUUGAUGGGACCUAGAAUUGCUGAGAAGAAACCCCACUGUGUAGGUCUGUGAGGGUAUUUUCACAGAGAUUCAAAUAAUGUUUGAAGAGCCAUCCUGAUUGUGCAGAUUAUCAUUCUUUGAGUUAGGGUUCCAGACUGAGUAAAAAGGAGGAAGUGAGAAGGACAUCAUCAUUCACCUACUUUGUUACCAAUUGCAGAUAGAAUGUGACCUGAUGCCUCUCAUUCUUGCUACCUGGCAUUCCCAGCAAUGCUGAGAUAGCCAUAUACUCUCAAUUGGGAGCUUAAAUGAACCCUUCUUUUUUAUUGAAAAAAUUAUACAAUAUAUCCUUUUUUUUAAAAAAAAAAAGCAGUAUUUAUUUUCUCACACAAUAUGGCCUUAUUGCAGCUUCCCCUCCCUCCACUAUUUACUACCCACUUCCACUAUUCACUCCACUUCCCUACCCACGCCCUCAUCCAAAUCCACUGUCUGUCAUGUCUCCCCCAGAAAAGAGCAGGCAUCCCAGGAACAUCAACCAAACAUGUCACAAGAUAAAUUCCAAUGAGACAUAACCCUCACAUCAAGACUAUAAGGCAACCCACUAGGAGGAAAGUGUUCCAAAAGAGUAGAAACGCCCCACUCCCACUGUCGUGCAGCUUCUACAUACCAAUAGCCAGUUACAUUAGCAACAUUUGUUGAAGAUGCUUUCUUUUUUCCAUUAUGUAUUUCUGGUUUCUUUAUCAAAACACAGGUGUCAAUAGGUGUGUGGAUUUAUGCCUGUGUCAUCAAUUCAAUUCCAUUGAUCAACAUGUCUAUUUUUUUUGCCAAUACCCUGUUUUGUUUUGUUCUUUACUAUGGUUCUGUAGUACAGCUUGAAAUCAGGGACAGUAAUACCUCCAGAAAUUCUUUAAUUGUUCAGUAUUGUGUUAACUAUCAUGGGUUUUUUGUUGUUGUUUUUUCCUUAUGAAGUUGAAUAUUGUCCUUUAGGACUGUAAAGAAUUAUGAAGGAAUUUUUAUGGGGAUUGCAUUGAAUCUGUGCAUUGAUUUUGGUAUGAUGGCCAUUUUUACUUUGUUAAUCCUACUGAUCCAUGAGCAUUGGAGGUCUUUCCAUCUUCUGAUAUCUUCUUCUUUGAUAUCUUUGAAGAUAUGUCAUACAAGUCUUUCAUUUGCCUGGUGAGAGUUACCCUAAGAUAUGUUAUAUAAUUCAUGGCUUUUGAAAAUGGUCUUGUUUCCCUGAUCUCUUUCUCAAUUCAUUUGACAUUUGUAUAUAGGAGGGACACUGAAUUUUUUUAAAGUUAAUCUUGUAUCUAGACACUUGAAGGUGUUUAUCAGAUGUAGGUGUUCGCAGGUAAAACAUUUGUGACCACUUAUGUAUACGAUCAUACCAUCUGAGAUUAUAAUACUUUGACUUCUUCCUUUCCAAUUUGUAUCUACUUGAUAUCCUUCAGUUGUCUAAUUGUUCUAGUACUAUUGACCUAGUACUAUAUUGGAUAGGUAUGGAGAGAGUGGACAGACUUGUCUUGUUCCAAAAACAACAGUCACCCAGUGUUUAGUUCUUUCCCACUAGGGCUAUGAUGUUAAACUACAUGGGAAUAGAGGAAUUGCUGGAAACUAACCUGAGCAUUUGGACCACAGAACAUCUAAAGCCAGUCUUCUUAGGUGGGCUUCAUACUUCUUCUCCAGCACCAAGUCCAGUCAGGCUUAAGAUAGAUGCUUCUUGGUUUCUAUAAACUCUCAGCAGCUCAGAAGCAUUAGAACUUUCACAACAGUUAAGCACUAUGGGUUCUUUUGUCUCAUUGGUUGCAACAAUGUCACAUGACCAUUCCUACCAGCAAAGGAAACUAGGAAAUUGAGUUGUAUUUUUUAAGAAUGGUAAUUGGGUUGUAUCUAGGUGUAUCAGUACUAAGCAUGAUAAUAAGCCAAGAAAAGGCUGUGGGACACCUUUUCUAAUAGUUCCCCAAAUUGUGAGUAAAUAUUUCUUCCACAGAAGACCUGAAAACUGUUGCUCCUUAUGGAACUGAAGCCUUCUGGAUUAUGUAGGGCAAUGUGUAUUUGUGUGUAUAUUUGUUGUAUUAUUUAUGUGUGUGCAUGUUUAUGUAUGUGAGACAAAGACAGAGACAUGUAAAUUAAUGUUGCUAGAUUAUAUAAGCAUCAAUAUAAAAAUAUUACACAUUCAUACAGCAGUUGGAUCUAAAGAUAUGCAUCUUUGCUUUGUAUUUAAGAAGGCUACAUGGCAACAGUUCCCAUUUUUGUGAGAGUAUCUAGUACAUCUUAUUUUCUAAAAUACCCAACCUAUGUGGUGGUUAAUAAACCCAUUUGCCACUGUAUGAACUAGGUUCUUGGAAAGAAAUAAUUUUACACUGGAAAAUGCUAGCAAGCACUUCAUCAGCCAUAAUGAAACACAGUGGAAUUGUGCCUUAGCACCAAGCAAAGUGAGAGGUUAGAAGCAUGCUCAACACCAUGUCUGCUAUCUGUUUCCCAUGAACUCUCUUUAAAGUGCUUUCAUUUUCUCUCCUCAGCUAUUAUAGUGCAUGUUCAUUAACUGCCAAUUGUAGCUAUCUCCCAUUAUAGUUUCUUUUACUUGAUAAUUUUCCUCUGCAAAUAUUCUUAUAGAUUAGUCCAUAUAGAUCAAGCAUCACCUAGAGAGAAUGCUAGACAGCUUUCCUUUUGGAAAUAAGCUCAGAAAAGUUAUGAUCUUAGUGCCUAGAGUAUAAAAGUCCUCAACACAAAUUACCAAAUGGGAGUGUGGGGUAUCAAUGGGUAAUAGUUGCAUAAACAAGUAGUCUUGUGUGUCUAAUCCCAUUGUGCCUACAGGGUGAUGGGAGGUAGAGAUGGGAAUCCCUAAACUCUGGGCCAGCUGGCAGAAGCAGCAAAGGAGACAAUCUCAAGAUUCAUGGAGAUGACUGACACAUGAGAUCAUGGACUCCACAUGCACACUGGAUGAUAAAAAGCCUACCAUUUCUACAAUGUGCAAUAUUUUGUUAUCCUUUUGAUUCGUUAAAAUUACACUGCAGUUAUUUGCAAUAAAAAAUCAUCUCUAUGUA